rnacentral:rRNA from 1 species
UACGUAGGGGGCUAGCGUUGUCCGGAAUCAUUGGGCGUAAAGCGCGUGUAGGCGGUCCGGUAAGUCCGCUGUGAAAGUCGGGGGGCUCAACCCUCGAAUGCCGGUGGAUACUGUCGGGCUAGAGUGCGGAAGAGGCGAGUGGAAUUCCUGGGUGUAGCGGUGAAAUGCGCAGAUAUCAGGAGGAACACCAAUUGCGAAGGCAGCUCGCUGGGACGUUACUGACGCUGGAGACGCGAAAGCGUGGGGAGCAAACAGG